rnacentral:lncRNA from 1 species
GGUUAGGGUUAGGGGUCAGGGCUAGGGCCAGAGAGGUCAGGGUUAGGGCUAGGGUUAGGGUUAGGGCUUGAUCCCCGGGGUUAGGGUUAGGGUUAGGGAUAGGGUUAGGGUUAGAUUUGAUCCCGAGGGUUAGGGUUAGGGUUAGGGAUAGGGUUAGGGUUAGAUUUAAUCCCCGAGGGUUAGGGUUAGGGUUAGGGAUAGGGUUAGGGUUAGAUUUAAUCCCCGAGGGUUAGGGUUAGGGUUAAGAUUCUGGUUAGGCGUUAGUUUAGGGCUAGGGGUCAGUGGUUAGGGGUCAGGGGCUAGUGAUUAGGGGUUGGUGGUUAGUGAUUAGGGGUCAGGGUUAGGCAUUGGAGCCCCUAAUCACACGUAGAUGUAUUUAGCUGUUGUUCCCGUCCAGUGCAUGUGGUCCACUUCUGACAGAAACCUGUCUCCUUUCUAGAGAGUCGACGUGUGGCCAAGCUCCAGUAUGCCACAUUCUUGUCUGUGUUAAUGUGUCUUUUUGUUUUGUAUGUUACAGGUUUUGGGGAGAGGGAGACUUUCCCUCCAAAGAGUCCAGAAACUCCCUGUCCAGCUUAGACAUGAAGUUCUGUUGUGGAGACAGAACAGGAGUUGUCUCCAGCUCCGUGUCUUGGUUUUCCCCUAUGUGUGAGUACUGUUUUGUAUUGUUUGUAGGUGUUUGUUUCUCCUCUUGUUUGUUAUGUUGUGGUUCUGUGUGUGGUGUGUGGAGUGGAGUCUGAGGUGUUUUGGUUUGUUGUGGUGUUUUUUGUUGUUGUUGUUGUGGUGGUGUUUUGUUUUGUUGUUGUUGUUGUGCUUGUGCUGACUGUGUGUUUUGUUGUGGUGUCUGCUUUAUGUUUACAGGUUUGUCCACAAUUUGUGGACCAUCAUUUUGCUGUUUUUCCUGUGCAGCAACAGGCUCAGAAGGGGCUGCCUGUCUGUCCUGUGCUGCAUCAGGCUUCACACAAGAGGCUAUCAGAGCCUCCGCGUGGUCAAUAACCUCCUGAUUUAUACGAGGCAAGUUCUUUCGAGCCCAUCUUGUGGCCACAGUGAAGGCGCUCUUCCACUCUUGAGGUGGCUCUUUUGAAAGAUCUGCCUUUAUUUUCUCCAGCUCAGCGGUGUAGUGGUCCUGGAGAAUGAGUAGUGUAGUGUGGCCCCAGUUUUUUGCAUUUGCCAUGAUCAAAUCCAGCGUGUAGGUUGUUGGAUUUGCUGGUUUGAUCAUGGCUGCCAAAUUAUCCACCAUACGUGCUAUCAUUUUUGGAUCCUGUUUUUCAGGUCCUGGGGUCACAUUUUGUAGGUGGUGUACCAUUUUAAUGACAGUGUGUAAUUUUCUGACCCUUUGUCCAAAUUGUGGGUCAUGUACUGGUGCUUGAUGAGUACUUGGAUCCGGCAGGGAUCUGCUCUGCUGUGUGUUUUUUUGGUGGUAAUAAGGGCGUCUUUGAGGAAAUCCCCCCUGGUUACGGGUGGGGUUUCCCUGGUGUAGCACAGAUGCAUAGGACCCUGAUUGAGGUCCCCAAAAUUUGGGUUGAUAAUCAGGAGGAGGUCCAGGUCUGCGGGGACGUGAGGGAGCAGAGAACCGUGGGGGAGGCACAGGCCGGUUAGGUUUAUGGAUAAAGGGGGACUGUCUCCUAGAAUAGGAGACAGUAGGUGCACGGUCCAUCCCCCUGUUCCCCGUCCCCCACGACCCCGUUUGAUACUGCUGAUUAGUGCGAUACGGGCGUUGACCACGCCUUCUCCCGUAUCGCACUUCAGUCCAUUGUUCUUGGUCGUAGGUCAUGAUUGUUGUUUUAACCUUUUUAAUUAUUUAUUGUUAUUUAUUAAUGUGGUGUAUUUAUGAGACUAUUUAUUUAUUUAUUGGUCUAUCUAUCGAUCUUUUUAAACAAAACCUGUAUCAAAUGAAUUGUUAUUUAUUUUUUUAUGCUUUUUUUUGUUUUUUGUGAAAUAAAAAUGAAAUAAAAUGAAAUAAAAGUGAGAAAACUAAAUAAAAUGUGUAUCAAAAUGAAGAAUAAGUGCCCAGUCGCGACGUUUCGACCGCUGUGGGUCUUCUUCAGGCUAUGGGCACAAAAUAAAAUAUGUCUGGGCUUGUCUGGGCUUGUCUGGGCUUGUUUGAGUCUGUUGGUGAGAUGCUUUCUCUUCAAGAGACAUAUGAGAAGUGGGAGGCUGAACUCUGUGUGCGUGAGUUUUUUAUAGGGGCGUGGGAAAGAGCAGAGCCAGACGGGGGCCUCCGGCCGUCUGGGUGCAGUUAACCCCAUAAAUGCCAACUGAAAUUUAAUGACAUGAAUGUUAAUGGCCAAUUAGAAUUUUUUUACCCUCUUUUAGCUGAUUAAUUUUGAUGAAUUAUAAUUGUAAUGUCCAAUUAGAAAUAUUUAUCUUGUUUUUGACCUAUUUAAUAUAAUAAAUUGUAAUUUUAAUGCCCAAUUUUAACUUUUGCCAAUUAGAAUUUGUAAUGAAUUUGAAUUUUUAAAGAUAGAUGUAAUUAUGUUAGCCCCUAAUUCCCUUUUUAAAUUUUAGAUGAGAUAUAUAUUUGUAAUAUUUAUGGUUUUAAUGUGAAAUCAUCCUAUUUUUAGCCCCUUAAAAUCCAAUAAUUAAUAAUGAAUCAAAAAGAAUUAGUUAUAAUAAAUGAUUAGCCUUUAAAGGUUAGGGUUAGGGGUCAGGGCUAGGGCCAGAGAGGCCAGGGUUAGGGUUAGGGCUAGGGUUAGGGCUAGGGCUAGAUCCAGGGGUUAGGGUUAGGGUUAGGGCAAGGGUUAGGGUUAGAUUUGAUCCCGAGGGUUAGGGUUAGGGUUAGGGAUAGGGUUAGGGUUAGAUUUAAUCCCCGAGGGUUAGGGUUAGGGUUAGGGAUAGGGUUAGGGUUAGAUUUAAUCCCCGAGGGUUAGGGUUAGGGUUAAGAUUCUGGUUAGGCGUUAGUUUAGGGCUAGGGGUCAGUGGUUAGGGGUCAGGGGCUAGUGAUUAGGGGUUGGUGGUUAGUGAUUAGGGGUCAGGGUUAGGCAUUGGAGCCCCUAAUCACACGUAGAUGUAUUUAGCUGUUGUUCCCGUCCAGUGCAUGUGGUCCACCCCCGACAGAAACCCGUCUCCUUUCAGAGAGUCGACGUGUGGCCAAGCUCCAGUAUGCCACAUUCUUGUCUGUGUUAAUGUGUCUUUUUGUUUUGUAUGUUACAGGUUUUGGGGGAGAGGGAGACUUUCCCUCCAAAGAGUCCAGAAACUCCCUGUCCAGCUUAGACAUGAAGUUCUGUUGUGGAGACAGAACAGGAGUUGUCUCCAGCUCCGUGUCUUGGUUUUCCCCUAUGUGUGAGUACUGUUUUGUAUUGUUUGUAGGUGUUUGUUUCUCCUCUUGUUUGUUAUGUUGUGGUUCUGUGUGUGGUGUGUGGAGUGGAGUCUGAGGUGUUUUGGUUUGUUGUGGUGUUUUUUGUUGUUGUUGUUGUGGUGGUGUUUUGUUUUGUUGUUGUUGUUGUGCUUGUGCUGACUGUGUGUUUUGUUGUGGUGUCUGCUUUAUGUUUACAGGUUUGUCCACAAUUUGUGGAUCAUCAUUUUGUCUUUUUUCCUGUGCAGCAACAGGCUCAGAAGGGGCUGCCUGUCUGUCCUGUGCUGCAUCAGGCUUCACACAAGAGGCUAUCAGAGCCUCCGCGUGGUCAAUAACCUCCUGAUUUAUGCGAGGCAAGUUCUUUUAGCCCAUCUUGUGGCCACAGUGAAGGCGCUCUUCCACUCUUGAGGUGGCUCUUUUGAAAGAUCUGCCUUUAUUUUCUCCAGCUCAGCGGUGUAGUGGUCCUGGAGAAUGAGUAGUGUAGUGUGGCCCCAGUUUUUUGCAUUUGCCAUGAUCAAAUCCAGCGUGUAGGUUGUUGGAUUUGCUGGUUUGAUCAUGGCUGCCAAAUUAUCCACCAUACGUGCAAUCAUUUUUGGAUCCUGUUUUUCAGGUCCUGGGGUCACAUUUUGUAGGUGGUGUACCAUUUUAAUGACAGUGUGUAAUUUUCUGACCCUUUGUCCAAAUUGUGGGUCAUGUACUGGUGCUUGAUGAGUACUUGGAUCAGGCAGGGAUCUGCUCUGCUGUGUGUUUUUUUGGUGGUAAUAAGGGCGUCUUUGAGGAAAUCCCCCUGGUUACGGGUGGGGUUUCCCUGGUGUAGCACAGAUGCAUAGGACCCUGAUUGAGGUCCCCAAAAUUUGGGUUGAUAAUCAGGAGGAGGUCCAGGUCUGCGGGGACGUGAGGGAGCAGAGAACCGUGGGGGAGGCACAGGCCGGUUAGGUUUAUGGAUAAAGGGGGACUGUCUCCUAGAAUAGGAGACAGUGGUGCACGGUCCAUCCCCCUGUUCCCCGUCCCCCACGACCCCGUUUGAUACUGCUGAUUAGUGCGAUACGGGCGUUGACCACGCCUUCUCCCGUAUCGCACUUCAGUCCAUUGUUCUUGGUCGUAGGUCAUGAUUGUUGUUUUAACCUUUUUAAUUAUUUAUUGUUAUUUAUUAAUGUGGUGUAUUUAUGAGACUAUUUAUUUAUUUAUUGGUCUAUCUAUCGAUGUUUUUAAACAAAAACUGUAUCAAAUGAACUGUUCUUUAUUUUUUUUUUUUUUUAUUUUUAUUUUUUUUUUUUUUUUUUUUUUUUUUUGUGCGUUUUUUUGUUUUUUGUGAAAUAAAAAUGAAAUAAAAUGAAAUAAAAGUGAGAAAACUGAAUAAAAUGUGUAUCAAAAUGAAUAAUAAGUGCCCAGUCGCGACGUUUCGACCGCUGUGGGUCUUCUUCAGGCUAUGGGCACGAAAUAAAAUAUGUCUGGGCUUGUCUGGGCUUGUCUGGGCUUGUUUGAGUCUGUUGGUGAGAUGCUUUCUCUUCAAGAGACAUAUGAGAAGUGGGAGGCUGAACUCUGUGUGCGUGAGUUUUUUAUAGGGGCGUGGGAAAGAGCAGAGCCAGACGGGGGCCUCCGGCCGUCUGGGUGCAGUUAACCCCAUAAAUGCCAACUGAAAUUUAAUGACAUGAAUGUUAAUGGCCAAUUAGAAUUUUUUUACCCUCUUUUAGCUGAUUAAUUUUGAUGAAUUAUAAUUGUAAUGUCCAAUUAGAAAUAUUUAUCUUGUUUUUGACCUAUUUAAUAUAAUAAAUUGUAAUUUUAAUGCCCAAUUUUAACUUUUGCCAAUUAGAAUUUGUAAUGAAUUUGAAUUUUUAAAGAUAGAUGUAAUUAUGUUAGCCCCUAAUUCCCUUUUUAAAUUUUGGAUGAGAUAUAUAUUUGUAAUAUUUAUGGUUUUAAUGUGAAAUCAUCCCUAUUUUUAGCCCCUUAUGAAAUCCAAUAAUUAAUAAUGAAUCAAAAAAAUUAGUUAUAAUAAAUGAUUAGCCUUUAAAGGUUAGGGUUAGGGGUCAGGGCUAGGGCCAGAGAGGCCAGGGUUAGGGUUAGGGCUAGGGUUAGGGCUAGGGCUAGAUCCAGGGGUUAGGGUUAGGGUUAGGGCAAGGGUUAGGGUUAGAUUUGAUCCCGAGGGUUAGGGUUAGGGUUAGGGAUAGGGUUAGGGUUAGAUUUAAUCCCCGAGGGUUAGGGUUAGGGUUAGGGAUAGGGUUAGGGUUAGAUUUAAUCCCCGAGGGUUAGGGUUAGGGUUAAGAUUCUGGUUAGGCGUUAGUUUAGGGCUAGGGGUCAGUGGUUAGGGGUCAGGGGCUAGUGAUUAGGGGUUGGUGGUUAGUGAUUAGGGGUCAGGGUUAGGCAUUGGAGCCCCUAAUCACACGUAGAUGUAUUUAGCUGUUGUUCCCGUCCAGUGCAUGUGGUCCACCCCUGACAGAAACCCGUCUCCUUUCAGAGAGUCGACGUGUGGCCAAGCUCCAGUAUGCCACAUUCUUGUCUGUGUUAAUGUGUCUUUUUGUUUUGUAUGUUAUAGGUUUUAGGGGAGAGGGAGACUUUCCCUCCAAAGAGUCCAGAAACUCCCUGUCCAGCUUAGACAUGAAGUUCUGUUGUGGAGACAGAACAGGAGUUGUCUCCAGCUCCGUGUCUUGGUUUUCCCCUAUGUGUGAGUACUGUUUUGUAUUGUUUGUAGGUGUUUGUUUCUCCUCUUGUUUGUUAUGUUGUGGUUCUGUGUGUGGUGUGUGGAGUGGAGUCUGAGGUGUUUUGGUUUGUUGUGGUGUUUUUUGUUGUUGUUGUUGUGGUGGUGUUUUGUUUUGUUGUUGUUGUUGUGCUUGUGCUGACUGUGUGUUUUGUUGUGGUGUCUGCUUUAUGUUUACAGGUUUGUCCACAAUUUGUGGACCAUCAUUUUGCUGUUUUUCCUGUGCAGCAACAGGCUCAGAAGGGGCUGCCUGUCUGUCCUGUGCUGCAUCAGGCUUCACACAAGAGGCUAUCAGAGCCUCCGCGUGGUCAAUAACCUCCU